rnacentral:rRNA from 1 species
AGCAAACGCUGGCGGCGUGCCUAAUACAUGCAAGUCGAACGGGGAAAGUAGCAAUACGAGUACUAGUGGCGCACGGGUGAGGAACACGUGGGUAAUCUGCCUUCGAGCGGGGGAUAACUAGUCGAAAGAUUAGCUAAUACCGCAUAAGACCACAAUGUCUGCGGACAAAGGGUCAAAGUCGCAAGACACUUGAAGAUGAGCCCGCGUAAGAUUAGCUAGUUGGUGAGGUAAUGGCUCACCAAGGCGAUGAUCUUUAGCUGGUCUGAGAGGAUGAUCAGCCACACUGGAACUGAGACACGGUCCAGACUCCUACGGGAGGCAGCAGUAGGGAAUAUUGCGCAAUGGGGGAAACCCUGACGCAGCGACGCCGCGUGAGUGGUGAAGGCCUUCGGGUCGUAAAGCUCUGUUAUAUGGGAAUAAGAUCUGAAUGUACCAUGUGAGAAAGGAUCGGCUAACUUCGUGCCAGCCGCCGCGGUAA